rnacentral:lncRNA from 1 species
CCACACAUACAUAAGGCAGCUUGAAUUUAGUAAUUGUGAUGGCUUGACUCUUGCAAAUAUUUCCAAGAGACCUCUGGUGGCUUUGGGGCUUUGGGAAGAUCAUCCCAUGAUGUACUCAACCUGAUGAAACUGUUCUUUGAAAUUUUCACUUGUGUUUGUCUAUUUCUCCCCUCCUUGGAAUGGUGAUUUAAGGGGAUAGAAUCUGGCUUGCUGGUGGGUAGGGGAGUCAGCACACUUUAAAUCAAGGGCAGCUGUCAUGUGAAUUGCUUGAUUCUAGACUGAACAGAAGAAGCAUGCUGAGAAAGGAUGGGAAAAAAAGAAGUUAUAUUUUCUGAUGGAGAUGGUAGGGGGGGAGGAUUUUUACAUGAUGGAGUAUCUAAUUCAUGCUGGAUGCUUUCAUGGCCAAAGGCUCUGGGUAGAGAUUUGUGGAGGGCAAAAUACAAGAAAUUCGACAGCUAAUGGUGAAUCUGGAGAGCCCUGAUUAAAUGAUAUUUAAAUUAUUUAUACUGAGGGUAUUCAAACAUUUCCAUUAUUUGUGGAUAAUUUCACUGUUGGAAGAUUCAGAUCCAAAGCAGGCUUAAGUGGAUGAAAUGGAACUGGAUUCUGGCUAAAGAACAUAGCAGAAAUUGAGCAUAAUCAAAAUUAAACAUAGAUGAGUAGCACUGUGUGUAUGAUAUACACACAGAAUGAAAUAUAGUGGAUUGCUCAGAAAUAUAGUGGAUUGCUCAGAAACAGUAAAUAUAAGCAAUAAUGGACAAAUUGCUUCAGUCACAGAGUCAAAAAACCCUGGCCAAAAGUCAUCGAAAUAUUUGAAACUCAAAAAAUAAUCCACAGGAAUUGGAAGAUAUGUGUGUGUAUUCCUUAUGUUUGCAAAUAUAAUUGCAGAAGAUUUUGUGUAGACAUAGGUUGGACUUGAUACCUCCCAAUUCCAUUGUUACAAUUCUUUUAUUCACUAGUAAAUAUAAGAACCACUUUAGACUGCUGGUCUGCAGUGCUGAAACAGUAGCCUUCUUUAACAUAACAACUGGGUUUGAAGAUCAUUGAUAGCUGGAAGUGGGGUUAGUUAGAAGCUAAUAAACCAUUACUAAGUGAAUAUGUCAUGUUAUAAGGGGCCUUUGAUACCACAAAGUUGUAAAAUGCUAUAGAUAAGCUAGAAUGUUGCAGUCAUACAGCACAGUUUGGGUAGGUGAAGUGGUUAAUGAGAUGAGAGAUACAGCUGUCAAUGAAUCAAAUCCAAUUUAAUUCACAUCAGUAAAUACAUACAGAGUACCCACUGUAGGUCUGGUAUUGUGCCAGUUGCUGGGAAGCCAAAAUGAAUACAUUGGAGCACCUGUCCCAAAAAAACUUACACUCCACUGAAAGACGCAAAGAAGACAUAAGCAAUAAGCUGGAAGGUGAUGUGAUGGAAUGCAUGUAAUGAGAAAUAUGCAAUUCUAGGACACGUAUAAGGCAUAGAGAUUAUAAUAUAAGGGAACAAGGAGCAUUAGUUUAUGCAUGUGACUUUUUCUUGGUGUGAGGGGAGGAGGGAAAAAUGGAAAGUUUUAGGGAUAAAUUUUCAUCUGAUCUGUUUAAAAAUGAAGAGGAGCAAAUCAGAGAUAUUCAAGGGCUGAGCACAGGAAAAAAUUGGGGAGCAAUGAUGUAAAUGUUUGCUUUCUUGAGAGAAGGGAGAUGGAUAAUGGAUGGAGAUCAUCAAUUCGCUUCUUUUCCAGGCCAAGUAUUAAAAAUCUAGAAUUUCAUGACUUUGAUUCAAAUUUUAGUUUUGCAUACUCAUCUCAUUAAUUUUAAGCAUUUUUGAUAGAACUGAACUGAAAAUCCCCCUCAUGCUUAAAGUUUGAAAGAACUUUGAAGUCAUCUUUGGUUUUCCCAUCACUUAUUCAACUCAAGGAAUAUUUAUGGAGAACCUACUAUGUGCCAUGUUGCCAAGUACUAUUCUAUACACUUAGAAUACAUAAAUAAAUGAGACUGAUAUCCUUGCCCUCACAAAGCUUAGGUUUUAAGAGAGAAAGCAGUAACGAAUACACCUAAGAUGUAAAUAUUAUAGUCUGCCAAAAGGCAGCAAAUGCACAGGGGAAAAGUUGGUGUAUGCCUCUGUUUGCCCAAGACAUGCUCAGUUUAUUCCUAUUGCCCUAAUAUAGAGUUAUUAGCAUCACAUCCUUAACUCUAAAAGAUGCCCCAGUUUGGAUCAGACACUAUAUAAACUGGUAAUUAUAGUUAAAGGGAAUCAGGAACAUGUGUGUGUGUGUGUGUCUGCACGUGUGUGUGUGCAUGCACUUGCACAUGUGUGGGGCCACAUUAUGAUAUUUAACACAGUAAUCCAGGUAAGCCUCAUUGAGAAGAAGACGUAUGAGCAAAAAUUGAAGGUAGUGAGAGAGUGAGUCACCCAGAUAUCUUUGUGAGCACAAUUUCUGGGCAAAGCCCUAGGAUUUCCAAGGAAGACAAGGUAGUUAGGACCCUGAAAGGGAAUGAAUGAAGAAAGAUCAAUUGGAGAUGCCAUCAGGAAAAAAAGGAGAAGGAGUUGGAGAGGGAAGGACCUAUACCAUUGAGAGGGAGAUGAAUCCUCCUCUGAGUCCAGUGGGAGGAGACUGGGAAAUCCUACACACAAAAGACAAUCUGAUUCAUAUUUAAAAAUCAUUACUUUGCCAAUUCUUGGUGGUAUCCUCUUUGUAAAGAGUAUACUCUAGAGGGUAAAAGUAAGGCAAGUUGUCUAGAUAGGAGGCUCUCACAGUGAACUAAGUGAGAGAUGCCAUGGCUUGGAACAGGAUGGUGGCGGCAGAUAGGGAGAGAAGUGCAUUUCCUGACAGACAAGAGAGGAGGUUCCCAUGUCAUGCAGUAACAACAAAAAAUUCCCUAAAGAACUAGUUUAACAACUCUUGGGUUUUAGUCCUAACUGAGCUCUUAAAAAAUGAGUCGCUUCUCCAACUUGGCUUCAAAGUCUUGCCUUCUCUUUCAGAGCAUUUGCAAAAUGGUAAAUCCCAUGAAAGCUUAGUUCUACAAAUAAAACCUUCUGUCUAAGAAAUAUUAAGGAUGGUUCUGAUAGGGAUAAUUCUGGUUCAGUGCAAUGUGGUAUAUUUGCCAUGUUGAAAUAGAGAAUUUUGUCAAAUACACGGCUUUCCAAAUUGGAGCAAGUAGCUAAUAGAUAUUAAAAUAGUGAAUAAUGUUGAUGACAGGACAACACAUGGAGACAUAUUAUUGUGACUGGUGGAGCAGAGAGAGUCAAGACCUCUGCUUGUGUCACCAACUGCGACUGUCACCACAUCCUUUAACCUCUCAGAGUUGAAUGCCCUUGGUUGUACAUGAAACUUCUUGGGAUUAUAGCUCUGAAUUUGGGGAUUCACUUUGUUUUCACCUCUGACAUUGCAUGACUAUGUAAACGCUUUGAAAUCAGAUACUAGGAAUAAGGCUCUAAUAGACAAUAAUGAUCCUGAACUCACAGAGCCAGUUUUAAUAUUUUAUGGUUAUCUCAGUCCUCUUAUAUGUGUGCAUGUACAACUUGUGGUCAAGGACUGAUACCUUUUCUAAUAUAUUAAAUCCAUGGUCCAUAAAUCAGAGAGGCCCAUUUAGUGAUGAUGAAGAACACAGGUAUGUUUAUAAAUUGGAAAAAAAGAGGAACUACAUCCUAGGAAUAUUGUGGUAUUAUACAAAACUUUGAGUGAUAAUAACCAUCAAUUAUUAUAAUCAAGGUUAGCUGAAACUUUACUAUGAGUAAAGUGCUAGGUUCGAUACUUUACUAUAUCUUUUAAUGCUAAACAAAAAAGGAAGAUUCUAUGUGUAGGACUUCUUUUCAUACCCAUUUUAGAGAGAGAGAAGCAGAACCACAGAGACCUGAGUAACUUCCACAAAGUUAUUCAAACCUUGACAGUUGGCCUCCAGAUCGUGCACAAUCUUAACCACAAUACCCAACUCUCUCCUCAAUAUACAGAGAGGGUUAGUAGUUUCUGGCAAUAAUGAGAAGUCAAUAAACAGAAGCUAUAAUGAUGAUGAUGGUUAUUAUAGCAGGGGGAAUUCAAUACUUGCUAGGUAAUGAAUGAAUUCAUGAGUCAUCUACACUGAGAAACUUAGGUGAUAACUGAAAUCAUGAAGAAAUGAGCUCAUCCAAGGGUAGAGGCCAGAGAAGAGCUGAGGAUGGAAAUUUGGAGGACAGAUAACCAUAUGCCCUGAUGCACACUUGGAUGGUGUUCAACCAGAAGUGACUAUUUUCAUGACCUACAGCAGAAACAAAUGUUUCCUCCAGGACUAGUUGAGUGACUCCUGAAUUUUGGUUCUAACUUUAAAACUGCUUCUCCCAGUUUUCUUCAAAGCCUUGUCUUCCCUUUCAAAACAUUUGAAAGAUGGAAAAUCCCACCUCCAAAGAGUCCAUUGAAGUUUAGAUGCAAACAUAACUGCUCCUGUCUGGUAAAGAUUAAUGAUGUCUCUGAUAUGGAUAUUUUUGAUUAAUUGCUGUUGAAACUCUUGAGCUGAAUGUCAAAGCUAGAAAAGGAACUCUUAAAUGGACUCAAAAGACAAGAGGCCCCUCUGUCCUUGAACAUAAUCCAAUCAAAGAGACUGCAAAGGAAAACACAAGAGACAGUGUUAAAUUCAUGGUGACAUGAGAGAUCCUUCUUUUUCCAUUUGUGAAAAAGAAACACACCAGGCCAUCAUUCUUUUAGAGACUAUCCUUUGAUAUUGACCUGCCUAAAAUGCAAAAAACAAAAACACACUUUUUCUUUUUUUUUUUUUUUUUUGCUUUUUUUUAGUGCUGCACCCAUGGCAUAUGGAGCUUCCUGGGCUAGGGGUUGAAUCAGACUGUAGCUGCCAGCCUAUGCCACAACAACAGCAAUGCAGGAUCCGAGCCACAUCUGUGACCUACACCACAGCUCACGGCAAUGCCAGAUCCUUAACCCACUGAGUGAGGCCAGGGAUCAAACCUGCAACCUCAUGGUUCCUAGUUGGAUUUGGUUCUGCUGCACCACAACGGGAACUCCAAAAGAAGUUUCUAAAACACGACACUUGACUUGUUAAACGUCUAUCAGCCCUGCAAAACCUCUUGUUUACCAAGUCUUGAUGUUCAAAGUCAUAUUAAAACAACCAAAUAAAAGGAAAUGCAGUCAAGAAAAUAUAAUGUCUAUAAGGUAGAAAAUUGAGGGGCGUAAUAGUUAGCAACAUCUCCUGCCGCUCUGUCAUUCUAUUGAGGCUGAGAGUUUGGUCUUAGUUAAUUUGUCCCAAAGGCACGAUGGGCUCCCAAUUCUGGACUCUUCUGCAUCAGUAUUAUUGGAUGGUUAUAUUAUAAUCAGACAAAACUAAUACAUAUCAUUCGUUCUUAAAAAUUGACUGGUAUUAAGUUGGAUGGUGUUAUGAGCAUGUU